AGUGAACGCUGGCGGUAGGCCUAACACAUGCAAGUCGAACGGCAGCACAGUAAGAGCUUGCUCUUACGGGUGGCGAGUGGCGGACGGGUGAGGAAUACAUCGGAAUCUACUUUUUCGUGGGGGAUAACGUAGGGAAACUUACGCUAAUACCGCAUACGACCUACGGGUGAAAGCAGGGGAUCUUCGGACCUUGCGCGAUUGAAUGAGCCGAUGUCGGAUUAGCUAGUUGGCGGGGUAAAGGCCAACCAAGGCGACGAUCCGUAGCUGGUCUGAGAGGAUGAUCAGCCACACUGGAACUGAGACACGGUCCAGACUCCUACGGGAGGCAGCAGUGGGGAAUAUUGGACAGUGGGGGCAAGCCUGAUCCAGCCAUACCGCGUGGGUGAAGAAGGCCUUCGGGUUGUAAAGCCCUUUUGUUGGGAAAGAAAAGCAGCAGGUUAAUACCCCGCUGUUCUGACGGUACCCAAAGAAUAAGCACCGGCUAACUUCGUG
rnacentral:rRNA from 1 species